UGGGGAAUAUUGCACAAUGGGCGCAAGCCUGAUGCAGCCAUGCCGCGUGUGUGAAGAAGGCCUUCGGGUUGUAAAGCACUUUCAGCGGGGAGGAAGGCGGUGAGGUUAAUAACCUCACCGAUUGACGUUACCCGCAGAAGAAGCACCGGCUAACUCCGUGCCAGCAGCCGCGGUAAUACGGAGGGUGCAAGCGUUAAUCGGAAUUACUGGGCGUAAAGCGCACGCAGGCGGUCUGUCAAGUCGGAUGUGAAAUCCCCGGGCUCAACCUGGGAAGUGCAGUCGAAACUGGCAGGCUAGAGUCGUGUAGAGGGGGGUAGAAUUCCAGGUGUAGCGGUGAAAUGCGUAGAGAUCUGGAGGAAUACCGGUGGCGAAGGCGGCCCCCUGGACAAAGACUGACGCUCAGGUGCGAAAGCGUGGGGAGCAAACAGG
rnacentral:rRNA from 1 species